CCUACGGGUGGCAGCAGUAGGGAAUAUUGCACAAUGGGCGAAAGCCUGAUGCAGCAACGCCGCGUGCGCGAUGAAGGCCUUCGGGUUGUAAAGCGCUUUUCUGGAGGAUGAGGAAGGACAGUACUCCAGGAAGAAGGAUCGGCUAACUACGUGCCAGCAGCCGCGGUAACACGUAGGAUCCGAGCGUUAUCCGAAUUUACUGGGCGUAAAGCGCGUGUAGGCGGUUCGGCAAGUUGGACGUGAAAGCUCCUGGCUCAACUGGGAGAGGUCGUUCAAAACUGCCGGGCUAGAGAGCGACAGAGGGAGGUGGAAUUCCCGGUGUAGUGGUGAAAUGCGUAGAUAUCGGGAGGAACACCAGUGGCGAAGGUGGCCUCCUGGGUCGUCUCUGACGCUCAGACGCGAAAGCUAGGGGAGCGAACGGGAUUAGAUACCCUUGUAGU
rnacentral:rRNA from 1 species